CCCGGAUCUGCCAGAGGUGGAGGAACAGGACGUCCCACAGGACUCCCUGGAUGAAGUUUACUUGACUCCUUCACUCCCCCAUGACCUGUCUGACUGCCAGCAACCUUACAACAGCACGUUGUACUCAUUGGAGGAUCAGCUCACCUGCUUUGCUCUCGAUGUAGCCUAGCUGGGUUUAGAGCCUUCCCUUGAAUGAAGAAC
rnacentral:lncRNA from 1 species